CCGCAUUCCGCGCGGGCAAACACCACGUCGCGUCCUACCAGGCAAUGUCAGGAAGGAGGUUGCCUUUGAGCAUCGCUGUUUUCUCUAACGAGGAGGAAGCCAUUAAAACAGGAGCCUGGCCAGGCUCUUACCUGUGAAGAUGCAUUAUGCACAUUUUGCCCUCUUACUCUUUUUGAAUCUCUGCUCCUGGUCUUUCCCUGCCCCCGCCCCGCCCAGCUCCUACCGCCCCCGCCUCGGGGCUGAAUUGUGCUUUGAUUUUUGGGUGAAAGAUAAGUCACAAUUUAAAAGCGAAUUUCUUCAGGCAAAGACAUUAAUAAUACUUUAAUUAAAAUGCACUUGUAGGCCAGGCGCGGUGGCUCAUACCUGGCGCUUUAGGAGGCGCGGAGGCCAAGGCCGGGGAGGAUCGCUUCAUCUUAGGAGUUCGACACCGGCCACCAGCCUGGGCAUCUUAGAGAGACGCCGUCUCUACAAAAAA
rnacentral:lncRNA from 1 species